rnacentral:rRNA from 1 species
UACAGAGGUCCCAAGCGUUGUUCGGAUUCACUGGGCGUAAAGGGUGCGCAGGUGGGCUGGCAAGUUCGAUGUGAAAGCCCCGGGCUUAACCCGGGAAUGGCAUUGGAAACUGCCGGUCUGGAGGAUCGGAGGGGGGACUGGAAUUCUUGGUGUAGCAGUGAAAUGCGUAGAUAUAUGGAAGAACAUCAAUAACGGCGAAGGCGAGUCCCUGGACAACUCCUGACACUGAGGCACGAAAGCUAGGGGAGCAAACAGG